UGGAUAGAUGAAUGAUUUUGUUUAACAUUUGCCUAAGUUUUCUUUUUCCUUUUUUUCUUUUUUUUUUCUUUAAUUGAAGACUACAUCUAUAUCCCUCAAGAAACUCAAGGUGUGGCAGUAAUUCAUUCAUGGACAGAUGUAACCAACAGAUUUACAUGAGUGAUCAUACCGGACCAAUAUAGAACGAGAGCUGACAAGGAAAGACAUAUGGAUGUGUAUGGAUUUGUAUGAAUUUGGGUGGCAAGCAUAGCAGAAAAGGUAUCUGAAGGACACUGUAUUAAACAUUCUGGUAAGGAAUAUGACUGUAUUGAUAUUUUAAGUCGUCAUUGAAGAUUUUUUUGUCUGGUACAUAUUAUGUACCACAUGCUCCAGAUCCAAACAAAUAAAAAAUCACUGCAUGCCAAGGUUGUCCUAAGAGAGAAGUCUGGGAUCAGAUGGAGAAACAUAUUGCCAAACAACCAGUCAUCCAGCUAAACAUGAAAAGAGACUAAGAUAACUCUAAUAUCAAGGAAAUGAAAUUUCAGCCAAUGCUUAAGUUUCAUCAAAGUUAAUAGCAGGUAAGUCUGGCUGCAAAAUCAUUAACAUACAACAGCAUUAUUAAUGUUCCUAGUCAUUAAUAAGUAGGAGCAGAAGGAAUUGUUUGUGUCUUCAUAAAUUUUAUGAAGUAUUUCUGUCUUAGGUUCUAAAUUAUGUAGCCAGUAUCUUAAAAAUAUGAAGUUAUUUCCAUUCAAUUCUUUAUUUACAUUUCAUAUAUAACAGCAUCUAAGGAACAAGAGCUUCAUGAUAAAACUAGUGACUAUUUAAAAAUUCUGAAAUAGCAGAUUUUAUUGCAUUCUCUUAAAUAAAAUCUAGAAACAUAAAAUUUAAACUUUCA
rnacentral:lncRNA from 1 species